rnacentral:lncRNA from 1 species
AGUUCAUUUCUUUAAGAUGAAAAAGUGAAGCCUUGCCAUCUUAGCUCAUCAAUAUACUAUGGAGGACAAGAUGUCUAUUCGCAUCCACCCAAUAGCCAGAGGAGCAGCUCUACCAAUACAACUGUGAGUUCAUUCUCAUAUAUGAGAAUAAAUUGAACAAUGUCAUAACAGCAUCUCAGACAUAUAUAUAUAUUGCUAUAAUUAAGUUCUAAGAUGGUUUAUGAAGUGACUAGUUUAGUCCUCAAUAUCUUAACAAAAGAAUAUACUUGACAUGGUUACAUAUACUCUUCUAGGUAUUUGAAGGUAUUGGUUAGUAUACUCAUCUGUCACUUGUCCUGAGGAGAGCUUUUGGUCUUCUGCCUUUCUUGUUUCCCCUAUGUUUUUCCUACUAUUAUAACUUCAACCACUAAAGGCUUUUGUUUCCUUUAUUUUAAUUUCCUUUUAAUCAUUAAUGUCUAAGUUAUAUGCAUUUCAGCUACGUCAAUUUGAGUGAUGAAUUUUUGCCCUGCUUGUUUGGGAGCAUGGUUUUUCUGGAAUACAGGAGUUUGGACCUUCAUUAACAAUGACACAUGAUUUCACUCUUACCACAUUUUUUUGUGCUGAGAAGAUUUAACAAGUUAGAAAGCUAAGGCGACUAUUGUAAAGUGAUGUGCCCCUAACUAUUAUCAUCCUCGUCUCGACCUUCAAAUUUCCAGCGCACUGAUGCAUUAUAAUCAUGUUGAGCUUCAUAUCUGUCUUAUGGCAGGAAGUUAUAAAUACAGGGAAGCUUUCCCCCCUCCUCCGCUAAGAGAUGGAUGUAUUAUUAAUAGUAAUAGCCAAAUAUGACUGCUUGCUGGUUACACUUAUAUCAUACUUAUUAUGUGUUGUUGUAGUCAUCACUCUUUCUUAUCCUUACACUUAUUAUAAAAGACUAUAGAGACAAUGCAUUUACGUUAAACUGUAAAGUUGGUUGGUUUAGGAACCAGAUUACUACUUAUUAAAUUGUGGACUUGACUAAUUUUAGGCAUUUUCCUUAUGCAGGUUCUCCUUCUUGUUCUUGUUUCUGUACGUAUCACUUCUUUUGAAAGUGUCAAUUCUAUCAUGCUUUGGAAUCGGCCUUGAACUUUAAUCAUUUCAUUGCUAAUGAAAUUUAAGAUUCUGAAAGGAAGACUCAUUCCUUAAUACCGACCAACUAAACCUUUUCUGUAAGUCAAGUCCAAAUGCAUAAUAGCAGUGGAAAGGACUCUAAUAUCUAAAUUUUCUUGAGAGCCUCGCACCAACUUACUUCACCUAUGUGACAAAAAAUAGUUGAUUCUACGUCCGAGUAAAGGAAAAAUGUCGCAAUAGGAUGAAGGUCGCAAUAGGAUGACGGUCAGUGUAACAAUAAGAUGAAAUUGUGUAAAUAUCAUAUAUCUGGAUAUAGAACGAAAUAGAUAUUGAAGAUUCAUACAUCUGAUACUAAAAAAUCCAAGAUGGUGGCUUAGUACACAGAAUGAUUGAUUGUGACCUCACAAGAACUUUCUGCUGUUUUGUAGAUUGGCUUUUCUUCCAUUUCGUUUACUCUCAGUUCACUGGACGUGCCACAAACGAGACAAUUACUUUUUUAAAUGAGUCCAAGAAGUUAUCUCAGAGGUGUUUACUACCAAAACCAUAUAUAGUCCUGAGAUUUUAUGAGAUGGGACCAAAUUCUAUUACUAUUGAUAAGAAAAGUUCCCAUUGACUAAUAU